CAAAACGACUCUCGGCAACGGAUAUCUCGGCUCUCGCAUCGAUGAAGAACGUAGCGAAAUGCGAUACUUGGUGUGAAUUGCAGAAUCCCGUGAACCAUCGAGUCUUUGAACGCAAGUUGCGCCCAAAGCCUUUUGGCCAAGGGCACGUCUGCUUGGGCGUCACGCA
rnacentral:rRNA from 1 species